AGUUUGAUCCUGGCUCAGGAUGAACGCUGGCGAGAUGCCUUAUACAUGCAAGUCGUACGAGAUUAAACUCAAGUGGCGGACGGGUGAGUAACACGUAAGAAUUUGCCUUUAGGAGGGGGACAACAACUGGAAACGGUUGCUAAUACCCCAUAUGCUUUCGAGUGAAAUGAAUUAUUUCGCCUAAAGAGAAGCUUGCGGCUGAUUAGCUUGUUGGUAAGGUAAUGGCUUACCAAGGCGACGAUCAGUAUCUGGUUUGAGAGGACGAUCAGACACACUGGAAAUGAGACACGGUCCAGACUCNUACGGGAGACAACAGUAGGGAAUUUUCCGCAAUGAGCGAAAGCUUGGCGGAGCAAUCUCGCGUGAGGGAUGACGGCCUAUGGGUUGUUAACCUCUUUUUUCAGGGAGNAAUAGAUUACGUGUACGUGAAGAAUAGCGACGGUAC
rnacentral:rRNA from 1 species